rnacentral:lncRNA from 1 species
AUGGCAGAGCAGCCUUCUCCACACUCAACCUUUGUUGAGAUGGACGUUCCGGAUGUGGCCACCCCUAAUUGGCCACCUGUGCUCCAUCAAGCCCCGCAGGAAUCCUAUGUUCCUACCUUUUGUCAUACUCCCACCCAGUUUAGUCGUAUGGUGCAGCCAGGAGCCCGUGUGCAGUUUGCAUCUCCACCAUUAGGUGGUAGUACGCCAGCUCAAAGCUUCCCGCAGGAACAGAAAAAUCCAGUGCCCAUGCAAUUAUGCACUCCACCACAUGGAAUAUCAACCUCAGCCAUUGCUUCAUCACCUUCUCCUCCAUCUUCAGGAGUACAGUAUGACCUGCCUGGUACUCUUCCAACACCUGGAAGAGAGAUUGGUCAUCUCACCACACAAGCACAAGGUAACUGGGAUCAGUUGCAUGAUUUCAUGAUCAAACAAGAAAAAGCUGUAAUUGCACUCACCAAGGAACUAAAAUCAAAUUCGUCCAGUCAUGAAUGUCAGAUUACCCACCUUGCCGGGAAGAUUGAGGAAAUCAAGCAACAACUUUCCACACCUUUAGCUACAAACAAGCAGCAAGCUGAAACUGAGUCAGACCAGACAAUUAAGGCUAUGAAAUUUAUGAUGACUAAGGAACUCCAAAAGAUGGAGAAUACCUUAGUGUCAGAAGUGCGCUUCAUGGUGCAACAGUUGCAGUCUGAGAUGCAGCAGGACAUUAAAGCAGUUCAACAGUACUUUCAGAGUGAUUAUGGUCAACUGCUGAAAGAAAGUAGUCAAUUGACUUUACUCACCAACAAAUUGUCCACCAACAUGAAAGAACUGCAAACUAAAAUAGAAGCUAAGUUGGAAAGUCAAGAAAAAAGAAUCGCUGAUCUGAGGGCAACAGAUAUUUCUCUUCACAACCCCUUACCUCAAUCAACAGUAAUUUCUCCAGCAGCCUCAACUACUUUUGUUAAAAGUGACCACAUCAAGCUAACAUUUCCUACCUUUGGAAGGUCAUCUGAUGACCCAGAUCCUUUGUUAUAUAUUACACGUUGUCAAGACUUCCUUGCUGUACAUCCUCUAGUGGACACUGACAUCUUGGCCACCUUCAGGACGGUUUUAUAUGGCACUGCCCGUGACUGGUGGGAAGUAGCAAGAUCAUCUAUUACAACAUGGAGGGAGUUUCAGUCUGCUUUUCUUGCUGCUUUUCUAGCUGAGGACUAUGAAGAUGAGUUGGCUGAACGUGUCCGCCACAGGAUUCAGGGAGAAAAAGAGUCCAUUAGGGAUUUUGCCUUCACCUACAGAGCUCUCUGUAAAAGAUGGAAACCAAGUUUAACUGAAGCAGACAUAGUUAAGAUGAUCCUUAAAAACAUUAAACCUUACCUCGCCAGCCACCUUCGUAGCCGUGUAACCACCGUGGAAGAGUUGGUUCGACUGGGUCACCAGCUGGAGAAAGACCAUGAACAACAGAAGCAAUUUGACAGUAAAGCUGGUUCCAAACCUGUUGUAGCACAAACUAGAGGGGUUACUUCUCCCCAACCUACCAUACAAUGUUGGCGGUGUAAAGGAUUUCAUGCACCAGGUACUUGUCCUUAUUUCACUUCUCCAGCUCAACAACUACCGGUUUCAGGUCAUCAGCCACACAGCAACAAACGGAAUUUCCACUCAUCCAAGCAGCCUGGCCAGCCAACCAACAAUUCAAUAACUUCUACAUCCACUGAGAAUUCUCAAAUACUCCCAGAUAAACCCAUUUCGACUAUCACAUCUAAAAGUACCUCUACCAUUCCUAAAAAUCUUGUCAGUGUACCACAACAGUUAAUUGUCCCUGUCAGUGUUGGCUCGUGGAAGGGGAAAGCUAUUGUGGACACGGGUGCAAGCUAUACCCUCAUCCAUGAGACACUCUGGAAGACCCUUGCUCAAUCACCUAAUGAUCUCCAACCUUGGACACUGGGGCCUCUGUAUUUGGCUAACGGGGAAGCCGAGGUUCCUCUUGGAUGGCUGAAUGUCGCAAUUAACUUCCAUGACCAAAUGUUCACCAUACCAGCUGCAGUUCUAGCACCCAAAGCUCUGGCAUAUGUAGUAGUUCUUGGCCUGGAUUUUAUUUUCUUUAGUGGCUUACAGAUAAAUGUAAUUGAUAAAAUGUAUACCUUCAAAUCUACUCCUGAUGUGGAUUACCCAUUUCAACCAGGUAGUGCAAGUGUACCUGUGAAUAGACCAGUAAAUAUAUUUCUAAAGGUGCUGUUGACUUGA